GGGGGUAUAGCUCAGUAGUAGAGCAUGUGCUUAGCAUGCACGAGGUCCUGGGUUCAAUCCCCAGUACCUCCA
rnacentral:tRNA from 1 species